rnacentral:rRNA from 1 species
AAGGGGGGACGGAGAAGGCUAUGUUAGCCGGGCGACGGUUGUCCCGGUUUAAGCAAGAAGGCCUGCGACAUA